CGAGGAGAGUAGGGAGCUGUCGAAGGCAGAGAAGGAGGCGACAAAUUCGGGCGGCCUUAAUGGAAAUAACUCGGCGGAGUGGACCCCACCCUCACUGCGUAGUGGAGGAGGAGGAGGAAGACGAAGUAGAAAGCGGAAAUCUCAAAUCAAAUAGUCAAGGCAUUUGUGUGUUUCACCAAGUGAUGAGACGGCCGAUCAACGUGGAGGAUCGUAGAAAUCUCAUGUCGAGAUGAUCCCAAGGAUGAUUACAGUAAGAGUAGGCCAGUUGGGGUUGAUAGAUUGAUGUAUGUGCUGUGACGGGAGAGGAGCGUCUCCCUUCAUUGCAGGUAAUGCCCUCGUUGUGCAACCAACCCAUCAUAUUCUCUUUGCUUAGUGUUCUUGGGAAGAAAACUAGUGUGCAACUCAUGUUAGGCUGGCGAAAGAUUCGAUUUGAUUUGUAUAUUAAGAACCGGUGGUAUGGGAUCGAGUUCUUAACCCAGUUUGGAUCUGUGCAGCGGCAACAAGGCUACAAGUGAGGAGAGAGAGAGAGAGAGAGACUGGAAGGGAGGAAGAAGACAAAGGUUUCCUGAACUCUCUCUCUCUCCCCCUCUUGUAACACAAUACAUGUACAGUUUAGAUACAGACAUUAAAAAUGCUCCUCUCGUUUGCUUG